rnacentral:rRNA from 1 species
AUACGGAGGGAGCUAGCGUUGUUCGGAAUUACAGGGCGUAAAGCGUACGCAGGCGGCUUGGUAAGUAGAGGGUGAAAUCCCAGGGCUCAACCCUGGACCUGCCUCCUAAACUGCUAAGCUAGAAUCCUGGAGAGGUGAGUGGAAUUCCUAGUGUAGAGGUGAAAUUCGUAGAUAUUAGGAAGAACACCAGUGGCGAAGGCGACUCACUGGACAGGUAUUGACGCUGAGGUACGAAAGCGUGGGGAGCGAACAGGAUUAGAAACCCUAGUAGUCC